CUUCCUAUUUGUCAUCUGAAAACCUUUUUUGUGCUGAACAAAAGUAUGAGUUGAUAUAGUUGCAUAAAAGGUCGUUGUUUCAGAGUAAAGGCAUCAUUUCGAGUAUCGAAUUGCACAUCGCUAAAGAUGAAAAUUGUAUUGCUUUUGAGCGUUGUCGCCACUGUGGUGGUUCUGUGCCAAUCCCAAGCAGAUGGUUCGCUCAAGCAGGGCGACGAAUGCACUGCUUCUUUCCAGUGCGCGGCCCCAUUGAUCUGCAACGAGUGGAAAAAUGGCCCCAAUCGUUGUCAACCCCGUGAAUGCAAACCGACGGGUGAGCGAUGUGGCUUCUUCCAAGGACGUUGCUGUACGUGUGAGUAUGCGUAUUGCUACAAAUUACCGGGAAUGGACAAGUCCACGUGUACACCAUUGGAACUGAUUCCAGUGGCAGACCGAGAACAAGUGAGAAUGUUCAAUGUUUAAAAGUGGACCAAUCAACAUCGAGAAUAAAACAGUUCUGUAGCAUUUCAAA